GACGAACGCUGGCGGCGUGCUUAACACAUGCAAGUCGAACGGUGAAGCGCCUUCCUUUUUGGUGGGUGUGGAUGAGUGGCGAACGGGUGAGUAACACGUGAGUAACCUGCCCCCUUCUUCUGGAUAACCGCAUGAAAGUGUGGCUAAUACGGGAUAUUCUGGGUCUGUCGCAUGAUGGGUCUGGGAAAGAUAUUGUUUCGGUGGGGGAUGGGCUCGCGGCCUAUCAGCUUGUUGGUGGGGUGAUGGCCUACCAAGGCGGUGACGGGUAGCCGGCCUGAGAGGGUGGACGGUCACACUGGGACGGAGACACGGCCCAGACUCCUACGGGAGGCAGCAGUGGGGAAUAUUGCACAAUGGGCGCAAGCCUGAUGCAGCGACGCCGCGUGAGGGAUGGAGGCCUUCGGGUUGUGAACCUCUUUCGCCAGUGAAGCAGGACUGCCUCGUUUGUGGGUGGGUUGACGGUAGCUGGAUAAGAAGCGCCGGCUAACUACGUG
rnacentral:rRNA from 1 species